GCGCCCCGCCGGCCGCCGCCUCCAUCCCCGCCCGCGGCCCGCGCUCCGAGCGCCCAGACCCGAGGCGGCCCGCACGUGCGCCCGCUCGCCGCCCGCCAGCCGACGAUCUGGGAGCAUGCCCGCGGGAGUCCGGCCGCUCGCCCGGGGCCAGCUGGCGGCGGCGGCGGCGCGUGGAGCCGCGGGGCGCAGCCGGCCGGGUUGGGGCCACCGGGCCGGAGUCUCCCGGGCCGCGUGAGGCGGCGGCGGCCCAGCGCGGCCGAAGAGGACGGAGCAGCGCCGUGCAGAGCGGGCCCUGGCCUGCCUGGGGGUGUACCCGGGGCCUAAGCGUGGGGUGUGGCCCUCAGAGAGAGGGGGCCAGGACUUGGAAGAAGUGCUCCCGGUUGUCCCCCUCGCUGGAGGAAAAAAUCUGGCCAAUCUCCAUCCCGGGACACCAGUUCAAUCCCUGGUCCAGGAAGAUUCCACAUGCUGUGGAGCAACUAAGCCCAUGUACCACAGCUCCUGCAGCCCACGCUUUAGAACCCGUGCUCCAUAACAAGAGAAGCCACUGCAAUGAGAAGCCUGAGCACCGCAACGACGAGUAACCCCCGCUCACUGCAACUGGAGAAAGCCCGUGCACAGCAAUGAAGACCCUGCACAACCAUAAAUAAAUGAAUAAGAUUAAAUAAACC
ensembl:lncRNA